GGCGGCGUAGCUCAGUUGGUAGAGCAGGAGAAUCAUAAUCUCUGUGUCCGGGGUUCGAGUCCCUGCGCCGCCACCA
rnacentral:tRNA from 1 species